GUCCACGCCCUAAACGAUGUCUACUAGGUUGUGCGGGUUCUGACACUUGCAUGGCCGAAGCAAAAGUGUUAAGUAGACCGCCUGGGGAGUACGGCCGCAAGGCUAAAACUCAAAGGAAUUGACGGGGGCUCACACAAGCGGUGGAGCAUGUGGAUCAAUUCGAAGCAACGCGAAGGACCUUACCUGGGUUUGACAUGCUUGGAUGCCUUACCGGAAACGGUGUAGGCUGCCCGCAAGGGUGAAACUUGCACAGGUGCUGCAUGGCUGUCGU
rnacentral:rRNA from 1 species